AGUGAACGCUGGCGGUAGGCCUAACACAUGCAAGUCGAACGGCAGCACAGUAAGAGCUUGCUCUUACGGGUGGCGAGUGGCGGACGGGUGAGGAAUACAUCGGAAUCUACUUUUUCGUGGGGGAUAACGUAGGGAAACUUAGGCUAAUACCGCAUACGACCUAGGGGUGAAAGAAGGGGAUCUUCGGACCUGGGGCGAUUGAUUGAGCCGAUGUGGGAUUAGCUAGUUGGGGGGGUAAAGGCCAACCAAGGCGACGAUCCGUAGCUGGUCUGAGAGGAUGAUCAGCCACACUGGAACUGAGACACGGUCCAGACUCCUACGGGAGGCAGCAGUGGGGAAUAUUGGACAAUGGGCGCAAGCCUGAUCCAGCCAUACCGCGUGGGUGAAGAAGGCCUUCGGGUUGUAAAGCCCUUUUGUUGGGAAAGAAAAGCAUCAGGUUAAUACCCCGCUGUUCUGACGGUACCCAAAGAAUAAGCACCGGCUAACUUCGUG
rnacentral:rRNA from 1 species